rnacentral:rRNA from 1 species
UACAGAGGUCUCAAGCGUUGUUCGGAUUCAUUGGGCGUAAAGGGUGCGUAGGCGGCGCGGUAAGUCGGGUGUGAAAUCUCGGGGCUUAACUCCGAAACUGCAUUCGAUACUGCGGUGCUUGAGGACUGGAGAGGAGACUGGAAUUCAUGGUGUAGCAGUGAAAUGCGUAGAGAUCAUGAGGAAGACCAGUGGCGAAGGCGGCGACCUGGACGGACACUGACGCUGAGACGCGAAAGCGUGGGGAGCAAACAGG